UGGCGGCACUAGCGCGGUGGUCCCACCUGACCCCAUGCCGAACUCAGAAGUGAAACGCCGUAGCGCCGAUGGUAGUGUGGGGUCUCCCCAUGCGAGAGUAGGGAACUGCC
rnacentral:rRNA from 1 species